rnacentral:rRNA from 1 species
UACAGAGGUCCCAAGCGUUGUUCGGAUUCACUGGGCGUAAAGGGUGCGUAGGCUGUCGGGUAGGUCUGACGUGAAAUCUUCAAGCUUAACUUGGAAACUGCGUCGGAUACUAUUCGGCUAGAGGAAUGGAGGGGAGACUGGAAUACUUGGUGUAGCAGUGAAAUGCGCAGAUAUCAGGAAGAACACCCGUGGCGAAGGCGGCUCUCUGGGACGGUACUGACGCUGAGGCGCGAAAGCGUGGGGAGCGAACAGG